GUCAUCGCCGCGCGACCGCGAGAAGUGAACUUGAGCAUAAAAGUUUCCAAUUGGAACAAGUAGUCGAGUUGAUAGACUUGGACUUGCGAUUUGCAGGUUUGCGGCUGGCCGUCGUUCUGUGAGCUCGCGGAGUGUUUUGUGUCUGCUUUCUUAGCAUUGUGAAGAUUUCCUACUUUGCCCAAGUGAUUGUUAUGGAGUCCCGUGGAAAUAAAGUGUUGUGAGGUGAAACAUUGUCGCCGUAAUCCAAUCGGGGCAGUGAAUAUGCGACAUAACAACUUCCACUACGUGUAGAAUGCAAAGUACAGUUUUUUGUUGAUUUUCUUGUUUUCGUGUUGUGUUGCUGUUCUGCUGCUGGCUCGCCGCUCGUGCUGCUUCUGCCGGAUCUUGCGAUAGCUUAGGAAUUCCACACCAUCCGAACAAGUUGUUGUCUUGAUUUUCUUUGGUUGAUUGUUCACGGGCCACUGGGUGUUGGACUGCAUCCCAUGAUAAAGUUAUAAACAACAAUAGUCAUUAACAAACGAUUAACAUGCAAAUGGAUAAGGAAAUAAACGUGAAUGAAACGCGGGAUCAGACCGCGCCACCCGUUCGCAAUAAAGUUAGUGUUUGGUUAUCGGGGAUCGUUGACGAGGUUCGUAGAAAAAAUCCUGUUCGAUUGCAAAAAUGGACUGGAACCGCCGAUAACAGUCCAAGUUCAGAAGCGGUUGAAAAUAUCGACAUAUGUGAAGACACUGCUAAACAUUCUGAAGAGCCAGUACCCAACGAACAAACUGAAGUCACAUUGAAUGAUACUGUGAGUGGAUCUAACCAACCAAGACUAUGGAGUGCAGGAAAUUUCUUAAACAAGGUUCGAGGAUUUGAGGGAUUCCACUCUGAUCAGGAGGAUAGCCGACUCAGUGUGGGGAAUAUCAAAUUACUGGGAAAAGCUAAGAUCAACGAGUUUUAUGAUAAGGUUCGCAUAAAUAAGGCACGGUUUGAUAAUUUGAAAAGGCGUGGCAGUAUGGAUAAAUCAGGGUCCAAUAUCUCAGAGUCUAACAUCUCAGAGACAGACGAAAAUGAUGUGCAAAAGAAAGGUGGCGAAGGAAUUGGCCUUUCUUCAACUCAAAAUAGCUUUAAUAACACCAAGGAGGAUAUAUCAUUGAGUGAUAGUUUAGAAGUGUCCGAAAACAACGAUUCAUUAUUUGUAACAAGUCGAAAAAUGCCAUUAGCCAUAAUUGGACGCAGUAGUACAAGUUGUGGUUGCAGCUCAUCCACAAAUCAAAUAGAAACAAAUGAACUUCAACCACCGCCAAAACCAACAAUGAAAUCGAAUAAGGCACAGAAGCAUUUAUUAGGGAAUAUCGGGCGUAGUUUUAGCGAGCAAAACGAUGACGAAAAUAGUAGUAGCUUUAUGUUAAACGAAAGAUCUCGCAGCUAUUCGCAUGUUGAGGAGGAUGGACCAACGUCUAAAAAUUCUAAUGAUAGUGAUAAUAUUGUAAGCAGCAGUUUGCCAACAUUUUUUGGACUUAAAUCAGUACCUGUUAGCCCAGUGCCACUACAUAAGGGAGUAAUGUCAAGAGAAGCGUCACUCUCAGAUAGUUCUCGACGAAAAAGCCUAUUACGAGACAGUUCUGUCCAAUCGGAUUCAAGCCAUUGUUCAAGCGUUGAGAGCUUGCUGGAGGCAAGGAAGCCAGAUCCUGAAGCGAUACUGAUAAAUUUGGGUUUUGGCCCAGCGCAAUCAGAAGAUGUUAUAUCUAAAAUACCAAAACGAUUUUUGAAGCCAUCACAAGUAAGAGGAAUUGAUAUUGAGACAUUUCUGCGACAACAACAAAUGGCUAAUCACCUGCAUGAUCAUAGUGUUCUCGGUUAUCGAGGACUUUUAGAUCCCGAAAAGAUUCUAAUUCUGCAAAGAUUUCAGCCGCAUACACAUCGACAUCACUAAAGAUAAUGAUAUCGUUAAUACCUGCAUACCUCCAAUUGUCAUUCUACUUUGCUUAUAACUAGAGGCAAUCCGGAUAUUCCGCCGUCAUUGAUUGUGGCCAAAAUAAUGGAACGCUUCGAACGAAAUGAGAGAAAUCGAUGUAUAAUGGAUAUAAAUUUAAACAGGCCACAGUCAGCACCCCCAACGCCAGGAC
rnacentral:misc_RNA from 1 species